GCUGGCGGUGUGCCUAACACAUGCAAGUCGUACGAGAAAGUCCCCGCAAGGGGAUGAGUAAAGUGGCGAACGGGUGAGUAACACGUAGGUAAUCUGCCCUUCAGUUGGGGAUAACUCCGCGAAAGCGGGGCUAAUACCAGAUGAAAUCCCGAAGGCGCAUGCUUUUGGGAUCAAAGAUGGCCUCUGUCUCAAGCUAUCGCUGAAGGAUGAGCCUGCGGCUGAUUAGCUUGUUGGUAGGGUAACGGCCUACCAAGGCGAUGAUCAGUAGCCGGCCUGAGAGGGUGAUCGGCCACACUGGAACUGAAACACGGUCCAGACUCCUACGGGAGGCAGCAGUGGGGAAUAUUGCGCAAUGGGCGAAAGCCUGACGCAGCAACGCCGCGUGGGUGAUGAAGGCCUUCGGGUUGUAAAGCCCUGUCAGUUGGAACGAAUCUCUUUCGAGCGAAUAACUUGAGAGAAUGACGGUACCACCAGAGGAAGCCCCGGCAAACUACGUGCCAGCAGCCGCGGUAAUACGUAGGGGGCGAGCGUUGUUCGGAAUUACUGGGCGUAAAGAGCGCGUAGGCGGUCAAAUAAGUCAGGUGUGAAAUCCCUCAGCUUAACUGAGGUUUGGCGCUUGAAACUAUUUGACUUGAGUUUAGGAGAGGAGAGUGGAAUUCCCAGUGUAGCGGUGAAAUGCGUAGAUAUUGGGAGGAACACCGGUGGCGAAGGCGGCUCUCUGGACUAAUACUGACGCUGAGGCGCGAAAGCUAGGGGAGCAAACAGGAUUAGAUACCCUGGUAGUCCUAGCCGUAAACGAUGGGCACUAGGUGUGGGAGGUAUCGACCCCUUCCGUGCCGCAGCUAACGCAUUAAGUGCCCCGCCUGGGGAGUAUGGCCGCAAGGCUGAAACUCAAAGGAAUUGACGGGGGCCCGCACAAGCGGUGGAGCAUGUGGUUUAAUUCGACGCAACGCGAAGAACCUUACCAGGGCUUGACAUCCUGCGAAUCCCGGCGAAAGCUGGGAGUGCCCGCAAGGGAACGCAGAGACAGGUGGUGCAUGGCUGUCGUCAGCUCGUGUCGUGAGAUGUUGGGUUAAGUCCCGCAACGAGCGCAACCCUCACCCUUUGUUGCCAUCAGGUCGUGCUGGGUACUCUAAGGGAACUGCCCCGGUUAACGGGGAGGAAGGUGAGGACGACGUCAAGUCAUCAUGCCCCUUACGCUCUGGGCUACACACGUGCUACAAUGGCCAAUACAAAGGGCUGCAAACCCGCGAGGGGGAGCCAAUCCCAAAAAGUUGGUCUCAGUUCAGAUUGCAGGCUGAAACCCGCCUGCAUGAAGGAGGAAUCGCUAGUAAUCGUGGAUCAGCAUGCCACGGUGAAUACGUUCCCGGGCCUUGUACACACCGCCCGUCACACCACGAAAGUCUGUUGUACUCGAAGUCGUUGAGCCAACCCGCAAGGGAGGCAGGCGCCGAAGGUAUGGCAGGUGAUUGGGGUGAAGUCGUAACAAGGUA
rnacentral:rRNA from 1 species